AGCAGUUACAGCAUCAACGAUGAGGAGACUGGCCGGGAGGCUAUUACCCGCAUCAAAACCAGUGAACAUUUAAAAAAAUUUUUUUUUAGAGAGAGGGUCUUGCUCUUUUGCCCGGACUGGAGUGCAGUGGCUUGACCAUAGUUCACUAUAACCUUGAAUUCCUGCGUUCAAGCGAUCUUCCUUCCUCAGCUUCCGGAGUAGCUGGGACUACAGAUGCGUGCCACCGUGCCAGGCCAAUUUUUAAUUUUGUUUUGUAAAGGUGGGGUUUCUGUGUUGCCCAGGUUGAUCUCAAACUCCUGUCCUCAAGCCAUCCUCCCGCCUCAGCCUCCCAAAGUGCUGCAAUUUACGGGCAUUAGCCACCGCACCUGGUCCAAAACCGGUGAAGAUUUGUUAAGGUAGGACAAAGAGGAAUGACAAAAGGCAUGUAACCGCCUGAAUUUGCCCCUAUCAAAGAGCUCUCCAGGAAGCACCACCAAGGAAUUUUCACUGACAUUUCCCAGGCCAGACCAUGCUACUGCUAAACAAAAUGAAGAUUCUGCUAGUGAGGAUGAAAGGAAGAAUGUGUAAUCAGUUUUCUUGAAGUAUAAUACAUGUACAAUAAACUGAACCUAUUGGAAAUAUACAUUUGGAUGAGUUUUGACAGAUGUAUAUACCACAGUCAAGAUACAGAACAUUGUGAUCACUCCAAGAGAUUCCUUGUGUCCCUUUGUGGUCACUCCCUCCUACCCGAGGCCCCUAGGUAACCACUGAUCUGUUUUCCAUCACAAUAGAUUAGUCUGCAAAUUCUAGCAUCUUUAAUAAAUGCAGUCAUACAGU